rnacentral:tRNA from 1 species
GACAUGGUAGCUCAGUGGUAGAGUCUCCCAACGGCUCGUUUGGUUAGCGGGUUAAGGGUCGGUCGGUGGUUCGAUUCCAUCCCAUGUAUA